rnacentral:rRNA from 1 species
UGGGGAAUAUUGGGCAAUGGGGCGAAAGCCUGACCCAGCAACGCCGCGUGGAGGAAGAAGGUUUUCGGAUCGUAAACUCCUGUCCUCAGGGAAGAGAAGGAGACGGUACCUGAGUAGGAAGCCACGGCUAACUACGUGCCAGCAGCCGCGGUAAUACGUAGGUGGCAAGCGUUAUCCGGAAUUACUGGGUGUAAAGGGAGCGCAGGCGGGAUAGCAAGUCAGCGGUGAAAAUUAUGGGCUCAACCCAUAAACUGCCGUUGAAACUGUUAUUCUUGAGUGGAGUAGAGGCAAGCGGAAUUCCGAGUGUAGCGGUGAAAUGCGUAGAUAUUCGGAGGAACACCAGUGGCGAAGGCGGCUUGCUGGGGCUCUAACUGACGCUGAGGCUCGAAAGUGUGGGGAGCAAACAGGAUUAGAUACCCUGGUAGU